rnacentral:rRNA from 1 species
AUUGAACGCUGGCGGCAGGCCUAACACAUGCAAGUCGAACGGUAACAGGAAUCAGCUUGCUGAUUUGCUGACGAGUGGCGGACGGGUGAGUAAUGUCUGGGAAACUGCCUGAUGGAGGGGGAUAACUACUGGAAACGGUAGCUAAUACCGCAUAACGUCGCAAGACCAAAGAGGGGGACCUUCGGGCCUCUUGCCAUCGGAUGUGCCCAGAUGGGAUUAGCUAGUAGGUGGGGUAAAGGCUCACCUAGGCGACGAUCCCUAGCUGGUCUGAGAGGAUGACCAGCCACACUGGAACUGAGACACGGUCCAGACUCCUACGGGAGGCAGCAGUGGGGAAUAUUGCACAAUGGGCGCAAGCCUGAUGCAGCCAUGCCGCGUGUAUGAAGAAGGCCUUCGGGUUGUAAAGUACUUUCAGCGGGGAGGAAGGGAGUAAAGUUAAUACCUUUGCUCAUUGACGUUACCCGCAGAAGAAGCACCGGCUAACUCCGUGCCAGCAGCCGCGGUAAUACGGAGGGUGCAAGCGUUAAUCGGAAUUACUGGGCGUAAAGCGCACGCAGGCGGUUUGUUAAGUCAGAUGUGAAAUCCCCGGGCUCAACCUGGGAACUGCAUCUGAUACUGGCAAGCUUGAGUCUCGUAGAGGGGGGUAGAAUUCCAGGUGUAGCGGUGAAAUGCGUAGAGAUCUGGAGGAAUACCGGUGGCGAAGGCGGCCCCCUGGACGAAGACUGACGCUCAGGUGCGAAAGCGUGGGGAGCAAACAGG